GAGCGAACGGACGAGAAGCUUGCUUCUCUGAUGUUAGCGGCGGACGGGUGAGUAACACGUGGAUAACCUACCUAUAAGACUGGGAUAACUUCGGGAAACCGGAGCUAAUACCGGAUAAUAUUUUGAACCGCAUGGUUCAAAAGUGAAAGACGGUCUUGCUGUCACUUAUAGAUGGAUCCGCGCUGCAUUAGCUAGUUGGUAAGGUAACGGCUUACCAAGGCAACGAUGCAUAGCCGACCUGAGAGGGUGAUCGGCCACACUGGAACUGAGACACGGUCCAGACUCCUACGGGAGGCAGCAGUAGGGAAUCUUCCGCAAUGGGCGAAAGCCUGACGGAGCAACGCCGCGUGAGUGAUGAAGGUCUUCGGAUCGUAAAACUCUGUUAUUAGGGAAGAACAUAUGUGUAAGUAACUGUGCACAUCUUGACGGUACCUAAUCAGAAAGCCACGGCUAACUACGUGCCAGCAGCCGCGGUAAUACGUAGGUGGCAAGCGUUAUCCGGAAUUAUUGGGCGUAAAGCGCGCGUAGGCGGUUUUUUAAGUCUGAUGUGAAAGCCCACGGCUCAACCGUGGAGGGUCAUUGGAAACUGGAAAACUUGAGUGCAGAAGAGGAAAGUGGAAUUCCAUGUGUAGCGGUGAAAUGCGCAGAGAUAUGGAGGAACACCAGUGGCGAAGGCGACUUUCUGGUCUGUAACUGACGCUGAUGUGCGAAAGCGUGGGGAUCAAACAGGAUUAGAUACCCUGGUAGUCCACGCCGUAAACGAUGAGUGCUAAGUGUUAGGGGGUUUCCGCCCCUUAGUGCUGCAGCUAACGCAUUAAGCACUCCGCCUGGGGAGUACGACCGCAAGGUUGAAACUCAAAAGGAAUUGACGGGGGACCCGCACAAGCCGGUGGAGCAUGUGGUUUAAUUCGAAGCAACGCGAAGAACCUUACC
rnacentral:rRNA from 1 species